UACAGAGGGUGCAAGCGUUAAUCGGAAUUACUGGGCGUAAAGCGUGCGUAGACGGUUAUGUAAGUCAGAUGUGAAAGCCCCGGGCUUAACCUGGGAAUGGCAUUUGGGACUGCAAGGCUUGAGUGCGGCAGAGGAGACUGGAAUUCCUGGUGUAGCAGUGAAAUGCGUAGAUAUCAGGAGGAAUACCGAUGGCGAAGGCAGGUCUCUGGGCUGACACUGACGCUCAUGCACGAAAGCGUGGGGAGCAAACAGG
rnacentral:rRNA from 1 species